rnacentral:sRNA from 1 species
GCUGGGUGCAGUGGUGCACACCUGUAAUCCCAGUGGCUUGGGAGGCUGAGGCAGCAGGAUCACAAGUUCAAGGCCCUAAGCAACUCAGUGAGACCCUGUCUCAA